AUGGUUAACACCAUGUUAGACACAUCGGGUCUUUCCAAGGAAUGGUGGGGGGAGGCGCUAAUGACUGCGUGUCAUGUCCUAAACCGAGUUCCCACAAAGCAUAAGACCAUGACUCCGUUUGAGGAAUGGGAAAGGAAAAGAUCGAAACUCUCUUACCUACGUACUUGGGGUUGUUUGGCGAAAGUCAAUAUACCAAUUCCCAAGAAGCGCAAGCUUGGACCAAAAACCGUGGAUUGUGUUCUUCUGGGCUAUGUUUUUCAUAGCAUCGGCUAUAGAUUUUUGAUAAUAAAAUCUGAGGUAUCCGACAUGCAUGUUGGUACGAUUAUGGAGUCGAAUGAUGCAACUUUCUUUGAGGACAUAUUUCCUAUGAAGGAUAUGUCGAGUUCAUCAAAUCAGGAGAUACCUAUGUCCCAUCCUCAGAUAGAAUCAUUAAAGAACAUUGCGAUGGAACACAUUGAGAAUCCUGUUGAGGGUGACAAUGGAACUCCUGUGAGGAGUAAGAGACAGAGGACUGCAAAGUCCUUUGGUGAUGAUUUCAUUGUGUACCUCGUGGAUGACACACCCAGGACUAUUUCAGAAGCCUAUGCAUCUCCUGAUGCUGACUACUGGAAGGAAGCUGUACGUAGCGAGAUGGAUUUCAUCUUAGCUAACGGUACCUGGGAGAUCACUGACCAUCCUUAUGGGUGCAAACCUGUAGGAUGUAAGUGGGUGUUCAAGAAGAAGCUUAGACCUGAUGGUACGAUUGAAAAGUACAAGGCAUGA
rnacentral:rRNA from 1 species